UACAGAGUAAAAAGCCCAAGCUCAGG
rnacentral:piRNA from 1 species